CCUUGGCACUAGUAGGCGAUGAAGGACGUGGUAAGCUGCGAUAAGCUUCGGGUAGUUGCAUACAAACAUUAAUCCGAAGAUUUCCGAAUGGGACAACCUGCUGCACUGAAGGUGCAGCACUCGAAAGAGAGCCAACCCGGAGAACUGAAACAUCUAAGUAACCGGAGGAAAAGAAAAUAAUCUAAUGAUUCCCCAAGUAGUGGCGAGCGAAAAGGGAAGAGCCUAAACCGGUGGAGCGUGCUCCACCGGGGUUGUAGGACUGCAUUUAGAAAGCAUACUCAAACCGAACUACCUGGAAAGGUAGGCGACAGACGUGAUAGCCGUGUAGGUAGAAAUGUAUGUGGACGAGCAGUAUCCUGAGUAGCGCGGGACCGGAGAAAUCCUGCGUGAAUCUGCCAGCACCAUCUGGUAAGGCUAAAUACUAACUAGUGACCGAUAGUGAACCAGUACCGUAAGGGAAAGGUGAAAAGUACUGCGAACAGCAGAGUGAAAUAGUACCUGAAACCGUGCGCCUACAAGCGGUCGGAGCCCGUAAGGG
rnacentral:rRNA from 1 species